CUUACUUUGCACGUGAUAAAAUUAAGGCCUAUGCUGUGAGACAGCAGACAGGACAUAAUGGUCAUAAUAUUCAGGUGUAGAUUAGUGCCACACUGAGGUCAUUUCAUUCAGAUGUUGUUGGGGAUAGUUUGGGGCUGCGUGCUUACAGCUAACAAUGAUUAAAUGAAGAUGAAUACGUUCAGCAGAGAGGAAGGGCUCGGUACAUCGACCGGCACAGCAGAAAUGAGGUGUCCCGUUGAUUUAGGAAGACUUCGAGCUGACGAGUGGGCGCAAAGAUGGGAACAGAUGAGUGGCAUCAGCUCCGUCUCCGCGUGAAGGUCACCGUGACGCAGGUUUCGACAGUGUGAAUGUUUGUUGGUAAACAAAUCCAUCUUGACAAAGAAAAGCGCAAACCGCUUUAUUAUCAGCACUCAGAAGCCUCCAACCUGAUUGCACGGCCACGGGUGGCUACGCUACAGCUGUCUCUGGACAGCAGCAGGUACCCAGAACUGCAUGCCAGCAGAGAUGGGCACCCAUUUCUCCAACUGGCUGCUGUUGGCCCUCUGCCUGCUCGUCACCCUGCGUGCAAAGCUAGCCAGCACUCAUCCCCCGCUCCCCCGUCAGCUGUGCCACCCUAUGCAGGAGAGAAAACUGUCACACUCCCUCAACUGAGUAGACGCUUCAUUCAAAAGCACCUGGCCAACACUUAUGUUCAGUGAAAAAAAAAAAACAUGCAUAUAAAAUGCUCAGAUGCAAGCUGGCUGUAAGAGAAUGUU